rnacentral:rRNA from 1 species
UACGGAGGAUGCGAGCGUUAUCCGGAUUUACUGGGUGUAAAGGGCGUGUAGGCGGGAAAGCAAGUCAGAUGUGAAAACCACGGGCUCAACCUGUGGCCUGCAUUUGAAACUGUUUUUCUUGAGUACUGGAGAGGCAGACGGAAUUCCUCGUGUAGCGGUGAAAUGCGUAGAUAUGAGGAGGAACACCAGUGGCGAAGGCGGUCUGCUGGACAGCAACUGACGCUGAGGCGCGAAAGCGUGGGGAGCAAACAGG